rnacentral:lncRNA from 1 species
UCUGUUAAUGAUACAGCUUCUGGGCGACUUCAGCAAUAGAAAGCUUAGUGGACGUCUUAAUGCUCCUUUGGCGUCAUAGUAUAUUCUUAAUCGCAUUGUUUACUUAAGGCGGAAGUAUCUCGCUCCGUACCCUACGUGUAAGUCAAGAAGAACGUGAUAAAAUGGACUCAGGUAAAUUUUCUAGCUCUAGAAAUACUGGUCAUGGCCAAUUUAGGACAAGAUUUGCCAGAUGAGUAUCACCUGACCAACGUCGGCUCGUGCAAGUAAACGCGAAGGAACUUUGGUAGUCCUGCUAUAGCUAAAUGGCCAUUUUCAACCACUAAUAAUAAUCCGGAAGAAUUGAAAUGGAUGAAAGCUGCAUCUAGUUAAGAUUACAGAUUUCUCUUUGUACAGCGGAGUUGGCAAUUUGCCAUCGUGAAAUCUGAACCACAUACAUUCGGUUUAGCUGUGUUAGCAGCAAUUACUGUGGUUCGCAACACGUGCUUCCGUCGAAGAUGAGAUUUAAAAAUGUCGACUCGCUUGGAUCUUUGGCCAGUUAUUACCAGUUUACAUGAUUACGUUGGCAGAGAGAAAUCCCUAUGCAAGGAAGCUCUUGCAGACUCGUGGUCAAGUUUCAGGAUUUAGUUACCAGCUGAACGGGCUUAAGCCAAGCGAGUGAAGGAACGAUGCGCAAAAGGACUCAUUUAUUCCAUGGAACUUGACCAAGUUUCGAAUGCUAAUGGAGUUAUCUGAUGAACUGAGCAUAAUCACCAGGAAUCUGCAAAGAUAUGUAUCAUAUCAAGAUCUGUAACGGGCAGUAACGUUGGAAGCGGCUAGAAUAGCAGUAUAAUGCAUAUGCAGCAUCGUGAAGCAGCACGCGCCACGUCAGCCGACGCGAAAAGAACAAUACUCAGGUCUGAAAUAGCCAGCGAGAAGUUAUCCUCUUCUCAGUUCCCAAUAUUCUCAUCCUUAAAUUCACGAAUGCAUAGCAGGGCUUCACUCUGGGUCGCUCUCUAACGUUAUUGGUAACCAAGAGAGGCUGCUUACAUCGACAACGACGACUAGCACUUCUGGCAAACGGAAGCGCCCUGCCUGAACGACUAAACGAGUAAGGGGGCGAGUGGCCAAGCACCCGGCCGCCAGCCGCCUUCCUUCAACACCUUCACCAAUGGCAAAGCAAUUCUUCUUUCCAGUUGAGCCGCUAAUCAAGAUAGAAGAUGACUCUUUUAUAAAAAAGAGUCCCGUCUCAGUGACGUCACCUUUAACAGCCGUAUCACCGUGCGUAAACGUAAAUGCUCCGGAAGAGAUCAAAUAUUCAUGCAAGUAACCGAAUGAGCGUCUUCUUUACAAAAAAAAAAAAAAUAUGUACUUUACGUCCUUAAUAACAAACGGGUGAAGAGCGCGAGCAGUAAUCAGAAUGUUUUAGGCGAUACAGAUUCAAUUCGUUUUUGACGGUUUACAAGAUCUCAUCUUGUAAAAUGUGGUUUGACAAAGAUGAUGAUACUGUUUCGUCAACAAGUCAUUUACGGAUGCAUCCGCAAAAAUCAUUCCAGCCAAAGAACAGCAAUUAAUGUUCAUCUGACUGUUCUGUUAAAGGUAGGUAGGUUAUAUCACAUGCAACUGGGUUUAAUGUUGAAUUUCUAAUUAUUUUAUAAAUGGCCGGAAUAGCUGCACAUGAGAUAAAACGACGCAGGCCGCAGGCAGGCAUAGUCAAAUGAUUAUCAUACACGGGACUGAGCGCAGUCUUGAAGUCAGUGUGCGCGUGUCGGAACACCUGUUCCUGUUUACUCAGUCUGCUGUGUAAAUGAGCGUUCGUGAAUUUAUGUGAAGCGCACAUUUACUCGCAAUGUGGGAAACCGCCGUUGGCAUAAAGUCACAAAUAGACCCAUCCAGAGCUACGUUAGCUUUUAAUUGUGGCCAUUGUCUUUUGAAUAAGUAAUGAUUUACCUAUAGAAAAUUGGAAUCACUGCGCGAGGCAUAUACAGCCAAAAUGUAUCCUGUAUAACAAAACGGUCGUCCUAAACGUAACCACGUUGACCAAUUCUAGCUUGUUCUGCUUGUGUGUUGCUUUUGAAAUCACUUGGGUUUUUAAACGUGAUCUAUAUUAUCUCGUUUUUAUAUUAAUGAUAUCAUAGAAGAAAAGUGGCUUUUCGACAUUUCGUCGUAGAUUGCUUUUGCAAACUAUCAGACUUUUUAUAAGAUCUCAUCAGUUCAUCGAAAUUGAACAAGACAAAGUCAAUUCUCCCUUGCAGAAAUUUCCGUUUGUGUUUUAUUUUUUCUACUUUAUUUACUAAGAAGGACUAUUUUGACCCUCUCUGACCACAGAGUCGGAAUGCUGAGAUUCAGAUAUAUCGAACGCACAUCGGUCAGAUGAUAGCCGCUUAUUUAGACACGUAUUUAGGUGGAUGCUACUUAUGGAACGCUAAAAAUUACUAGCUCUAUAUGUAUGUAUAUAUAUUGACAAUUAGCGGAACGAAUUCUACUAAAAGUAUAGUAAUAUUUUCGUGUCGUUCUCAGGCGGUCUGAUGGAAACUCGAAACAAACAUUUCUGCAUAACCUUCGUUUAACCCAACUAUUUGAGAGACGCACGAACACCGUCAGUGAUGAUAGAUAUCAAUAAAUACAUUUUAGGUACAUGCUAUCCUGUAAAUUGCAAACGCGCUAGAGGCUUAUUGGUGCGUCUGGGCCAGUAUUGUGAAUCAUUUGUAACUCGAAUGGACCAGGUUGUUAAAUUUAUUCCCAAAUAUAAAAUAUAUUUCUUUAUUCACACAGGUUAGUAAGUAGCAUGCAACGCUGAUGGCAGUCUCUCUCAACCAAAGGUUUCAUCGUGCAAGCCGCCAUGGUAACAUUCCAAAACAUGUACAUGACUAAACGUAUCGUAUCUGUCUCAAGCGGCUAUGAAGCAUCAUAGAACAACGGUAAUAAAUGUAGAUACACUUUCUGUAAGUUAUCUAUACCGCUUUACGAUGCAAGAACGGGGUCUAAAUCGUCCGAGGAGAAAUCAUUAAAAGAGCUUUAUUAUAUGUUUAAAUGAUGUUCAUCCAUGCUUCUUCAUUCAUUCAUACACAGGCAAAAUAUUUUGUAAUGCAAUUACGCUUCUACAACAAAUUUCCUUCAACAAAUGCGCCUUGUGUUUGGAAAUCAAA